UUUUCACCAGUUUCUUUGCACGAAUACCGAGAGAAACCGAAGUAUGUUCUUCGUGUUCUUCAUAAUCAAACGAAGAUUUGGAGGUGUUAUUGGAAUCCGAUGGAGGCGUAUGAAUAGUCAAAACGAAGCUAUCGACGCGUAGAAUCUAGUUUAAUCAUCCGUUUGUGUGCAGAUUCAACAGGAUUGGGACGAGACGUGUACGCUCGAAGACGUCAGAAAGUCGGAAUGGUAUUGCAAAGCGAAUAAGGGAUGAUUGAGUAAGCGAAGCGAAGUGGCGAAUAGAGUAUAGCUAGAGAUGGUCUAGAGAUUACGAGAUGCAUAGAUUGUGAAAGUGGAGAGAUGAGAUAGAGAUGUGAGACUGGAGUCAGAUUUAAGAAAGGAUUAAAGAUGAAUGGCUAGACUAUGAUUGCGAGUAAGGCUAAUGCUAGGCGAGGAGACAGAGUUGAGGAUCCAGUGGUCGAGGAGUGUUCAGGAAAGUUGAUGAGGUUGGUGCAAGCUGGAAUAGUUGACAGUGAUUCUUCUUAUCGAAGAUGAUCUGAUUUGGUAAGAGAUGUUGUGUAAUAAUAGUGGUAGAUUCUAAUUUCAAUACUGUAACCUGGAUGCGAUCCUGUUGCUUUUAGGGGGUUUAAAUGUUCUCUUGAAAUUCUCCUAUUAUGGCUUUCAAGUUUGAAAUUUAGGUUUUAAAAUCA